UAACUAUUGUAGAUACUCUUUUUUAUUAUGAUUCAUAUUUUUAGGGCAUGCAGGGGAGAGUAAAUGCUUAAACUAGUCCUCUGUUCUUUUCUGUAGGGUCAUGGUAGCUGCACACAUUGAUUGGUCUUUCCUGAAGAGAUGGCUGUCUAUCAUCUGUCACUGAGACCUGAAUGCCUUCCAACGACUGGAGAGAUUCCUUCCCAUGCUUUCACUGAUGGGAUACAACAUGAACGUUUAAUACAAGCUGAUGAGUCGUCUUCUCUGACAGAACAUUGUCAAGGAAAAUGGGC